GAGGGGCUCGCGGCCUAUCAGCUAGUUGGUGAGGUAACGGCUCACCAAGGCUAUGACGGGUAGCUGGUCUGAGAGGACGACCAGCCACACGGGAACUGAGACACGGUCCCGACUCCUACGGGAGGCAGCAGUGGGGAAUUUUCCGCAAUGGGCGAAAGCCUGACGGAGUGACGCCGCGUGGGGGACGAAGGCCUUCGGGUCGUAAACCCCUGUCAGAGGGAAAGAAGGGUGUCGGCGUGAAUAGCGCCGGCACUUGACGGUACCUUCAGAGGAAGCCCCGGCCAACUCUGUGCCAGCAGCCGCGGUAAGACAGAGGGGGCAAGCGUUGCUCGGAAUUACUGGGCGUAAAGGGCGCGUAGGCGGGAUGGCAAGUCGGUCGUGAAAUCCUUCGGCUCAACCGAAGAACGUCGGCCGAUACUGCCGUUCUUGAGGGAUGCAGAGGAGAUUGGAAUUCCCGGUGUAGCGGUGAAAUGUGUAGAGAUCGGGAGG
rnacentral:rRNA from 1 species